AGAGUUUGAUCAUGGCUCAGAGCGAACGCUGGCGGCAGGCCUAACACAUGCAAGUCGAGCGCCGUAGCAAUACGGAGCGGCAGACGGGAGAGUAACACGUGGGAACGUGCCCUUCAGUUCGGAACAACCCAGGGAAACUUGGGCUAAUACCGGAUACGUCCGUAAGGAGAAAGAGUUAUCGCUGAAGGAUCGGCCCGCGUCUGAUUAGCUUGUUGGUGAGGUAACGGCUCACCAAGGCGACGAUCAGUAGCUGGUCUGAGAGGAUGAUCAGCCUCACUGGGACUGAGACACGGCCCAGACUCCUACGGGAGGCAGCGGUGGGGAAUAUUGGACAAUGGGCGCAAGCCUGAUCCAGCCAUGCCGCGUGGAUGAUGAAGGCCCUAGGGUUGUAAAGUCCUUUCGGCGGGGAAGAUAAUGACGGUACCCGCAGAAGAAGCCCCGGCUAACUUCGUGCCAGCAGCCGCGGUAAUACGAAGGGGGCUAGCGUUGCUCGGAAUCACUGGGCGUAAAGCGCACGUAGGCGGCUUUUUAAGUCAGGGGUGAAAUCCUGGAGCUCAACUCCAGAACUGCCUUUGAUACUGAGAAGCUUGAGUCCGGGAGAGGUGAGUGGAACUGCGAGUGUAGAGGUGAAAUUCGUAGAUAUCGGAAGGAACACCUGUGGCGAAAGCGGCUCACUGGACCACAACUGACGCUGAUGCACGAAAGCUAGGGGAGCAAACAGGAUUAGAUACCCUAGUAGUCC
rnacentral:rRNA from 1 species